AUUGAACGCUGGCGGCAUGCUUUACACAUGCAAGUCGAACGGUAGACCCUUUCGGGGGUUGAGAGUGGCGAACGGGUGAGUAAUGCAUCGGAACGUGCCUAGUCGUGGGGGAUAACGUAGCGAAAGUUACGCUAAUACCGCAUACGCACUGAGGUGGAAAGCGGGGGACCGUAAGGCCUCGCGCGAUUGGAGCGGCCGAUGUCGGAUUAGCUAGUUGGUGAGGUAAAGGCUCACCAAGGCGACGAUCCGUAGCGGGUCUGAGAGGAUGAUCCGCCACACUGGGACUGAGACACGGCCCAGACUCCUACGGGAGGCAGCAGUGGGGAAUUUUGGACAAUGGGCGCAAGCCUGAUCCAGCCAUGCCGCGUGCGGGAAGAAGGCCUCGGUUGUAACGACUUCGUAUCGAGACGAAUAGG
rnacentral:rRNA from 1 species